rnacentral:lncRNA from 1 species
AGAUGAGCCUCUAUAAGAAGCAGGGUCGGAAAUUUAGAUACUUUUGCCAGAAAAAACAAUUUUUAUACCAUAUUUUAAACUCUGUACUGCAGGAAGGCUCUAUGGAUAGCAUAUAUGAACCAAUCCCACAACAAGCUAAAGAAGAAAGUGCCUGCAGUAGACUUGAGGAGAUGGGACAUGCACACCAUAAGGUCUUCCUGUGCGUGGUCAGAACAUGGUUUUGAAAGAAGAGGCUGAAAAAGUUGAGAAUCAGAAGCUCUUAAAGGCGCCUGAGGGAAAAUUAAGCUCGCUGAAGGACAGAAACAAAUGUGGUGACAUUCUUCUCCUACAAUGUGAGGGAUUUUGCACAUAUUCAACUGCUGAAGAAAAAAAGGUCACAGGAAUCACAGAUGUAUUUCAAAACCCUUAGGGUAUUGUGACAGUCUACUUUCUGAAUCUUUCUCAACAGAAGCUAUGGUAUAAUAUAAUUAACAUACUCUGUCAUAUUUCUUUCCCCUUUGGUCUUUGUGGGCUGAAACACUAAGGAUUAAGUUAC